GGGGCUUCGCUCCUUGGAGCCCUCGGUGGUUUAACGCACUUCUGUGCACUGUACCGAGAGACCUAGCGGAUGCACUUUGUUUUCCAUCCCAUGAUAGACUUCACAGUUGUGUUUAGACAUCCCUGUUUUAAUGCACCGCGUCCCUCAGAGCCACCGAAACGUCGGAGGACGAAACCGGUCCGGUAAAGGCCAGCGUUUCCUGCCCAUUAGCCACCGUUUAGCCAUAGAACCACUUGGGAUAAAUUUCCCUGCCCGCUGCUCACACACGUGCGCACCAUGGACUAGGGGCCGUUAUUCCCCACCCAGCCCGCGAGGGACCAGGGCUCAGUGGCCACCGUGGUCGCGCACCCUGCUUGCUUCCCCUCCGCUUCCCCGGGACCCGCCACGCCUCUCCGGAUAGCUGCCCACUCACCUCAUGCCCGUUGCUGGCUGGGAUGAUUUCGGACUCGUUAACCAAGGAUGACUUGAUGUCGGCUAAGUCGCCCUCCUCUUCGGGGUGACUGAUCUCGGCGAAGAUCUUCUCCUUCUGGGGAUCGCCUUCGUCCUUGAAGGGGAUCAUCUCAUCGGUGGCGCAGAGUUCCGGGUCCCCCCCGCCGCCGCCUCCGGAAAGUUGGGGCAUCCCGGCGGCUGUGUAAUCUCCGCUCCGCUGCGGGAGCACUCCGAGACAGCAGGAAGGGAGGGUCGAUGUGAGGUGGGGGAGUUGGAAGACUGAGUGUGGGAGGACUGUGAAUGGAAGCCGGGUGGGCAAGCGAGGGGCCCACGGCUGGAGCAGCUGCAGGAGCCUCUGCGAUUGCCGCGCUUUCCCACUUAGAAGGACGCCGGCGCCCGGCCCUGGGGCGAAGGGCACCAGACUGCGAGGGCGGCAGCCGCCGGCGCCUCUGAGAGCGUCUACGCCGCUCCGCGUGCACUAGGCUAGGCUGCCAGGGCUGGGUGGCCACCCCACGCCGCACUCGUUGCUGGGGUCUGUGCUUCGAGGACACCGGUUCCGGAGGGGACACGACUUGCCAAAGUGCAAACGAGGGUCCCGUGGUGCGUCACCGUGCAAAACCUCUCCACGGAUUCCUCGGAUGCUGAUUUCGGUGAUUUUGGGUUUUGUUUUGUUUUGUUUUUGAGAAGAGGAGAGCUGGGCCAAGAGGCUCCGUUUGCCCCAGCGGAGGUACGAGAAGAAUCAGAAAAUACCGAAAAGUCCACUUCCUUCAGAGUAAACAAUAAAGAGCCACCGGGCUGCAGACGUCCGCGUUAGAGCUUCUUUCCUUCCCUUUCGCUUCGGUUUUCCUUCUGGAGGAGCAUUUAAUCUGCUGGAGGGGGAGGGGGCGGAGGAGGAGGGGAGAAAAAGAGAAGUUUGCCAAGAAUAAAGUUUGUGCUGAUGAGCGCUGGGAAUCGGCGGUGGCUGGCACGGCGGAGUCUUGGGGAGUCACAGCAGGAGCUUCGGGCCCAAAUGUUCCAGCCCGCAGCUCGGGCCGAUACACACACUUACACACACACACACACACACACACACACACACACACACACACACACACACACUCGAGCUCGAUCCCUCUUUGUUCCCGGCUCGAGUUUCUGCCUGGCUCGCCUCUCUCCCCGCCUCCCCUCGGUCAAAGCAAAGAGCUGCCGGUGGCCCCUCGGCUCCUCCGGGCAGACCGGCGGGGAACACCCGGAGCGUAGCCGCUUGCAAGGCUCCGGGAGUGUCCGAAUGCCAGGGCCCACGAAAGCGCAGCCCGGUCCCUCCGGUGCGCGCUGCCCCGCAGGUGAGCGGUUGCGCCUUCCCACCGCUUCUCCUCGCCGCGCCUAGCCGGCGCUGCAAAGCUAUUCACUUGCGUCGCUUCUCCUCCCCCGCCCCUCCCCCGCCUCCUGCUCUCCUUGGCUGCCUGCUGGAGGGGUGGGGAGGAGGGAGUCUGUUAGGAGGAGGAGGAGGAGAUCCAGGUUCUCCCCCCUCCUCCCCAGCCCUAGUUCAUUUCCUAGCACCCAAAGGACGAGUCAUACUUGGGGGGGGGGGCGCCGNNNNNNNNNNNNNNNNNNNNNNNNNNNNCCCCCCCCCCGCCCCCGGCGCCUCACUUCUAGUCCUUUGCCAGUCUUUCUUCAACCUCCUUCCCGCCGCCCACUCUAGCCCCCUCACUCAGGCAAGGGGAGGAAGAUGAAAGAGAAAGCCGCUGGCGCUGUGGUCGACACCACAUAGAUAGAUGCUCUGACAGAGGGAAUAAGGCGAGAAUUAGGGACUAGGGGAAGGAAAAGGAGAAAAUGUAACACAUUGCUCACCUAACCAGAGAGAAGAGAUUCAGCAAAGGCAAACAGAAGAGUUGUGACUCUACUAACCGUGAAUCACACACACUUCGGAGACAAGGACACACCACCCUAGCGAAAAUAAAAUCUCCAGGCUUACCAGGGGGGAAGGAUCAGUAAGAAGGGUGUGGAUGAAGACUGAGCCUUAAAUAUCGCUUCUACGCUAUCGCAUUCAUUGUGCCUUUAUCACCGAAUGAACGUGGGUUUUUGGAGAUUCUCGACUCAGCGUGUAGAGACCUCGUAGAAAAAGGAAAAUACAUCCCAAAAGGAGGGAGAAGAACAACUUAGGAGAGGCAGGCAGCACUGGGCAGUUGCUGACAUCCUGGAGACUCCGCUGAAAGGGACCUUUAAAGGAUGGAUGUAAAUACGAAUCAAACCUCAAAAAUUCUCCGGUUCCCACUGUCUCCUUGGUGCAUUUUGGACAGGACUUUUAAGGGCGACGCUUUGUGAAAGUCACUGUGUAAGUAGGGCUUAAGUUUGGAAACACAUUGUCUUUUAGCUCUCAACCCCUCCCCUCAAGUCACAUAUUCAGGCAAAAUCAUUAGACCAGUGAGGCAGCCAUCUGUAGAACCUGGGAGCAGUAAACAGGAAGAAUUGUAUCUCCAUCUUACUUAAAUGGAAAAUAAGACUCC
ensembl:antisense